AGGCGACGAUGCGUAGGGGUUCUGAGAGGAAGGUCCCCCACACUGGUACUGAGACACGGACCAGACUCCUACGGGAGGCAGCAGUGAGGAAUAUUGGUCAAUGGGCGCGAGCCUGAACCAGCCAAGUCGCGUGAGGGAUGACGGUCCUACGGAUUGUAAACCUCUUUUGCCGGGGAGCAAGCGUGCGUUCGUGAACGCGCGUCGAGAGUACCCGGAGAAAAAGCAUCGGCUAACUCCGUGCCAGCAGCCGCGGUAAUACGGAGGAUGCGAGCGUUAUCCGGAUUUAUUGGGUUUAAAGGGUGCGUAGGCGGGAUGCCAAGUCAGCGGUAAAAAUGCGGUGCUCAACGCCGUCGAGCCGUUGAAACUGGCGUUCUUGAGUGGGCGAGAAGUAUGCGGAAUGCGUGGUGUAGCGGUGAAAUGCAUAGAUAUCACGCAGAACUCCGAUUGCGAAGGCAGCAUACCGGCGCCCUACUGACGCUGAGGCACGAAAGCGUGGGUAUCGAACAGGAUUAGAUACCCUGGUAGUCCACGCAGUAAACGAUGAAUGCUAACUGUCCGGCUCGAA
rnacentral:rRNA from 1 species